GACGAACGCUGGCGGCGUGCCUAAUACAUGCAAGUUGAGCGCUGAAGGUUGGUACUUGUACCAACUGGAUGAGCAGCGAACGGGUGAGUAACGCGUGGGGAAUCUGCCUUUGAGCGGGGGACAACAUUUGGAAACGAAUGCUAAUACCGCAUAAAAACUUUAAACACAAGUUUUAAGUUUGAAAGAUGCAAUUGCAUCACUCAAAGAUGAUCCCGCGUUGUAUUAGCUAGUUGGUGAGGUAAAGGCUCACCAAGGCGAUGAUACAUAGCCGACCUGAGAGGGUGAUCGGCCACAUUGGGACUGAGACGCGGCCCAAACUCCUACGGGAGGCAGCAGUAGGGAAUCUUCGGCAAUGGACGAAAGUCUGACCGAGCAACGCCGCGUGAGUGAAGAAGGGUUUCGGAUCGUAAAACUCGGUUGGUAGAGAAGAACGUUGGUGAGAGUGGAAAGCUCAUCAAGUGACGGUAACUACCCAGAAAGGGACGGCUAACUACGUG
rnacentral:rRNA from 1 species